rnacentral:lncRNA from 1 species
GUAUAUGCUUUUUGUGUGAGUCAGUGAGAGAAGAUUUUUGUUGUAGAGUUUUUUGUUUUGAACGCCUUGUUAGCAAAUCAACAACGUUCAUUCUUUUCAAUAAACAUUUUUGAGAAAGCACUUGAAGCCUGGUCGGCGAUUUGGAUUCCCAGUUUUUUUAAUUGAAAUGGUACUUUUUCAAUCCUUUGGUGGGAUGUACUGGGAAUUCUCUCAUUGAGGUAUCCGUUGGUGUGCUGGAAAUUUGGGGCACGUAAAGAUUUGUCUUGGAAAAUCCUCUAGAGAUUAAUUCGAUGUUUAUUGAUGGCCAGGCUGAGAGUCCUGUAAUAGACCCUUUUGUAUGUUAAAGGGUGUUCCGGUAGUACAAAAUUGUAUGUAUUUAUCGAUCCUGUUUAAAGAAGUAAUAGAAGUACAUUUAUUUACCAGAUUUACAUUUAUUCAGUAUAUUGGAAAUAAUAAAUUUGGCAGAUUUAUUUAGAAGUUCGAUAUUUGACGUGACAUUUUGACAAAAUUUAAGGAAGAUUGCAGUGUGUUUAUCCAGGCAAAUGAUUUUUUUUUUAUUGAAGGAAAUAAGGACGGUAAUAGAUUUUAUUUUAUUUUAUGGGAGAAAACAAGAAAGAACAAGGUACAAUUUAGAUUGGGUUAAGGGGUCUAAAAAGGGGACUAAAAUACAAUGAUUUUUAUAUUUA